UACGUAGGGUGCAAGCGUUGUCCGGAAUUAUUGGGCGUAAAGAGCUCGUAGGCGGUCUGUCACGUCGGCUGUGAAAACCCGAGGCUCAACCUCGGGCCUGCAGUCGAUACGGGCAAACUAGAGUACUGCAGGGGAGACUGGAAUUCCUGGUGUAGCGGUGAAAUGCGCAGAUAUCAGGAGGAACACCAGUGGCGAAGGCGGGUCUCUGGGCAGUAACUGACGCUGAGGAGCGAAAGCGUGGGGAGCGAACAGG
rnacentral:rRNA from 1 species